rnacentral:siRNA from 1 species
CCAAAGAAUAAAAAGGGACGGUAU